UGAGGAAUAUUGGUCAAUGGGCUUACGCCUGAACCAGCCAAGUCGCGUGAGGGAAGACUGCCCUAUGGGUUGUAAACCUCUUUUGUCAGGGAGCAACGCCGGCUACGUGUAGCCGGACUGAGAGUACCUGAAGAAAAAGCAUCGGCUAACUCCGUGCC
rnacentral:rRNA from 1 species